UUGAUCCUGGCUCAGAAUCAACGCUGGCGGCGUGCCUAACACAUGCAAGUCGAACGCGAAAGUCCCGCAAGGGAUCAGUAGAGUGGCAAACGGGUGAGUUACACGUGGGUGACCUGCCUUCGAGUGGGGGAUAACGUCCCGAAAGGGACUCUAAUACCGCAUGACAUCCUGCCUUUGAAUAGGCGGAGAUCAAAGCUGGUGAUCGCAAGACCUAGCGCUCAAAGAGGGGCCCGCGCCUGAUUAGCUAGUUGGUGGGGUAACGGCUCACCAAGGCAACGAUCAGUAUCCGGCCUGAGAGGUCGGACGGACACACUGGGACUGAGACACGGCCCAGACUCCUACGGGAGGCUGCAGUGGGGAAUUGUUCGCAAUGGGCGCAAGCCUGACGACGCAACGCCGUGUGGAGGAUGAAGAUCUUCGGGUCGUAAACUCCUUUCGAUCGAGACGAAUGGCCUCCGGGUGAACAAUCCGGAGGAGUGACGGUACCGAGAGAAGAAGCUCCGGCUAACUCCGUGCU
rnacentral:rRNA from 1 species